rnacentral:rRNA from 1 species
CCUUAUACAGGGGGAUAACAGUUAGAAAUGACUGCUAAUACCGCAUAAGCGCACAGGAUUGCAUGAUCUGGUGUGAAAAACUCCGGUGGUAUAAGAUGGACCCGCGUCUGAUUAGCUGGUUGGUGAGGUAACGGCCCACCAAGGCGACGAUCAGUAGCCGACCUGAGAGGGUGACCGGCCACAUUGGGACUGAGACACGGCCCAAACUCCUACGGGAGGCAGCAUG